GGGGACGUAGGUUAGCUUGGUGUCAUACUGCCAGUCUCGGGUACUGGAGGUCAUGGGUUCAAGUCCCAUCGUCCCCA
rnacentral:tRNA from 1 species